UCUUCUUCUCCGUUCCUUCUGCCCCCGAGCCGUUGCCUCCUCUUCUCCUCUCGCCAAACUUAGGGCUUCGCUUCCCCUCCUCCACCACCGAUCUCCAUGGCUGCUUCGUACUCGAGGCUGCGGAUCUCUUCCCACGCCCUUUUGGCGCUUGCGUGUUCGAUCCGGGCAUCGACCGUCGAUCCCUCUGCAUCUGCAGCGGCAACUUCGAUCCAAACUCGAUCGGCGGGUUCGCCGGAUUUCGUACCCGCAGCAAUGGCAGAGAGAGGAGGCCGUCGGGUGGUUGCUCCAGGUCUGUCCGUAAUCAGGGGCCACAGAGAUGCUUCUUCACCAAGGCGACUUCUGGAACAAUCAUGGACAGCUCUACUUCUACAUCGUCAGGCAGGAGUUGGAAUAGUUGUAUGAGAUCUUAGAUUUAUCUGAAAGUACCUGAUUUGUGCUGUGGCCUUUGAGAGUGUUAUGACAACAAGCCCAUUCUGGAGAUAAGGAAAAAAAAAAAAUUUCCAUAUGGAUCAAAGUAUUUAUAUGAAGAAUGCCUCCCCAAAGCUGAUUCAGACCCACCGUCGGCAUUCAUUAAGCAGAUGCGAAGGUUUGGCUCAAACGACAUUACAUGCUGAUGAGUCGGGUCAAGGUCAGGUUUGCACUUGCAUCAACCGAGGUAUCAAGUAUUAACCCAUCACCAAUAGUUUAUUUUAGAGUCGAUUUAACCUUGAUUAUAUAUCUCACGACUCAUCCUCAUUGGCUCAUUACACACUCUCUUACUCGGACGAGGUCAUAAAUUAAUUUUUUUUUCUUUUUUUACACUAUUUUUUUUGCUGUUUUAAAGGGUGGAAUAGUUGAACCCUGGGAUCAUUCUUUUUUAUUCUUUUACUAUGAAUAUAUUCAUGUAUAAUGAAAUAUGGGUCACGGUAUAAUGAUCGGGAUUGAAUCUCUAAAAUAAUCUGUAUACAUAAAUAUGUAAUCGUGUACAUUAAUCAUUCUGAGAUUUGCAUUUAAGGAACUUAUACAUUGUUUUUUCCUUCAGAGUCGGACUCAUACGUGUGAUCACCGACACACAUAAAUUUCUCAAUCAUCCAUCGUAGUUAUCACAGUCCAAUGGGAAUUAUAUACGUGUAUUGUUUUGAAUAUGAAUGCGAGAGGAUGACUCCACCGCCGAGUUGCUCGCCCGGUGGAAAUCGCGAGGUGGAGUACCACGUCGAACACAAAGCGACGUGGUGUCAUUGACUGCGAACAGCUGUGGCAGAUCAUACAGAAAGGCCGCGGUGAGAGGGACAAAGGACAGAACGCAACCGUCUCCUUUGUUCGUUCUUCCAUUUAUCGAAGCGUUUGGCUGUGAAUCCGAUGCAAACCCUCCUUUUGUUGGUGCGAGCGCCACAUUCGUGGCAUAUCAAUAACG